UUGAACGCUGGCGGCAUGCCUUACACAUGCAAGUCGAACGGUAGAGGGGCAACCCUUGAGAGUGGCGAACGGGUGAGUAAUAUAUCGGAACGUGCCCAGUCGUGGGGGAUAACGCAGCGAAAGCUGCGCUAAUACCGCAUACGAUCUAUGGAUAGAAAGCGGGGGAUCGCAAAGACCUCGCGCGAUUGGAGCGGCCGAUAUCAGAUUAGGUAGUUGGUGGGGUAAAAGCCC
rnacentral:rRNA from 1 species